rnacentral:rRNA from 1 species
UGAACGCUAGCGACAGGCUAACACAUGCAAGUCGAGGGCAUCACGGGAGUAGCAAUACGAACUGGUGGCGACCGGCGCACGGGUGAGUAACGCGUAUGCAACCUACCUAUCGAGAGGGGAAUAACCCGGCGAAAGUCGGGCUAAUACCGCAUAAAACAGGGGCACCGCAUGGUGAUAUUUGUUAAAGAAAUUCGCUGAUAGAUGGGCAUGCGUUCCAUUAGGUAGUUGGUGAGGUAACGGCUCACCAAGCCGACGAUGGAUAGGGGAACUGAGAGGUUGGUCCCCCACACUGGUACUGAGACACGGACCAGACUCCUACGGGAGGCAGCAGUGAGGAAUAUUGGUCAAUGGGCGAGAGCCUGAACCAGCCAAGUCGCGUUGAAGGAAGAAGGAUCUAUGGUUCGUAAACUUCUUUUGCAGGGGAAUAAAGUGCAGGACGUGUCCUGUUUUGUAUGUACCCUGAGAAUAAGGAUCGGCUAACUCCGUGCCAGCCGCGGC